AUAAGGAAUGUAGGUAGGUUGGGAAGUGGGAAGAGAUAAGCGUCUUGAUUUGUUAUAAGCGUCUUUGGAUUAUUUGUCGCCUACCAAUGCAUCACAAUCGGCCCGAGUAUUUUUUAGCCCAAUAUUCUUUAGUAUUUUGUUACUCCUGAAUCCUCUAUAAGAUAUUUUUAUGAAUGAUAGGAUUUUUUGGCCCAACUAUUAACUAAACAUG
rnacentral:lncRNA from 1 species